rnacentral:rRNA from 1 species
UACGAAGGGGGCAAGCGUUGUUCGGAAUUACUGGGCGUAAAGGGCGCGUAGGCGGCUUACCAAGUCAGGCGUGAAAUUCCCGGGCUCAACCUGGGGGCUGCGCUUGAUACUGGUGAGCUUGAAUGCGGGAGAGGAUAGUGGAAUUCCCAGUGUAGAGGUGAAAUUCGUAGAUAUGCCGCAGAACACCGAUUGCGAAGGCAGCCAGCUGGGCCAUUAUUGACGCUGAGGCACGAAAGCGUGGGGAGCAAACAGG